rnacentral:rRNA from 1 species
CUAUUCCUACGGGAGGCAGCAGUGAGGAAUAUUGGUCAAUGGCCGGAAGGCUGAACAAGCCAAGUCGCGUGAGGGACGACUGCCCUAUGGGUUGUAAACCUCUUUUAUAAGGGAAGAAUAAAUGCUACGUGUAGCAUGAUGCCUGUACCUUAUGAAUAAGCAUCGGCUAACUCCGUGCCAGCAGCCGCGGUAAUACGGAGGAUGCGAACGUUAUCCGGAUUUAUUGGGUUUAAAGGGUGCGUAGGCGGUUUUUUAAGUUAGUGGUUAAAAGUCAGGGCUUCACCUUGAUUUGCCAUUA